UACGUAGGUCCCGAGCGUUGUCCGGAUUUAUUGGGCGUAAAGCGAGCGCAGGUGGUUUAUUAAGUCUGGUGUAAAAGGCAGUGACUCAACCAUUGUAUGCAUUGGAAACUGGUAGACUUGAGUGCAGGAGAGGAAAGUGGAAUUCCAUGUGUAGCGGUGAAAUGCGUAGAUAUAUGGAGGAACACCGGUGGCGAAAGCGGCUCUCUGGCCUGUAACUGACACUGAGGCUCGAAAGCGUGGGGAGCAAACAGG
rnacentral:rRNA from 1 species